rnacentral:rRNA from 1 species
UACAGAGGUCUCAAGCGUUGUUCGGAUUCAUUGGGCGUAAAGGGUGCGUAGGCGGCGCGGUAAGUCGGGUGUGAAAUCUCGGGGCUUAACUCCGAAACUGCAUUCGAUACUGCCGUGCUUGAGGACUGGAGAGGAGACUGGAAUUUACGGUGUAGCGGUGAAAUGCGUAGAUAUCGGGAAGAACACCUAUGGCGAAGGCAGCUCUCUGGGACGGAUACUGGACGCUGAGACGCGAAAGCGUGGGGAGCGAACAGG